rnacentral:rRNA from 1 species
GACGUAGGGCGCGAGCGUUGUCCGGAUUUAUUGGGCGUAAAGAGCUCGUAGGCGGCUUGUCGCGUCGGCUGUGAAAACCCGCGGCUCAACUGUGGGCGGGCAGCUGAUACGGGCAGGCUGGAGUUCGGUAGGGGAGACUGGAAUUCCUGGUGUAGCGGUGAAAUGCGUAGAGAUCUGGAAGAACACCAAUGGCGAAGGCAGCGUCCUGGGAAGUGACUGACGCUCAUGUGCGAAAGCUAGGGGAGCGAACGGGG